rnacentral:rRNA from 1 species
UACGUAGGGAGCAAGCGUUGUCCGGAAUCAUUGGGCGUAAAGCGCGCGUAGGCGGCCCGAUAAGUCCGCUGUAAAAGUCAACGGCUCAACUGUUGAAAGCCGGUGGAUACUGUCGGGCUAGAGUACGGAAGAGGCAAGUGGAAUUCCUGGUGUAGCGGUUGAAUGCGCAGAUAUCAGGAGGAACACCCAUAGCGAAGGCAGCUUGCUGGGACGUUACUGACGCUAAGGCGCGAAAGCGUGGGGAGCGAACAGG